UACGUAGGGUGCAAGCGUUAAUCGGAAUUACUGGGCGUAAAGCGUGCGCAGGCGGUUUUGUAAGUCUGUCGUGAAAGCCCCGGGCUUAACCUGGGAAUGGCCAUGGAAACUGGCGAACUGGAGUGUGGCAGAGGGGGGUGGAAUUCCGCGUGUAGCAGUGAAAUGCGUAGAGAUGCGGAGGAACACCGAUGGCGAAGGCAGCCCCCUGGGCUAGCACUGACGCUCAGGCACGAAAGCGUGGGGAGCAAACAGG
rnacentral:rRNA from 1 species